ACUAAAAAGAAAGUAGCGAUAUUACAAAAAAUAGUAGCAAAAUUUAACAAUAAUUAAUUAGCUAAUAUGUUUCGAUCAAAAGAAAGCUGCUUUGCUGGUAAUUGGAUUAUGCUGGCCGUACGUAAUUCUGUUAAAAUUAACAUAAAGUUGUUUAAGCUUUGUACAUCUAUUCGCACGAAAGUCAAGUCUACUGCAGAUAACCGUAAUCAAUAGUUCCAUUCACUAAUAAAAUAAAAUGUGUCGCUCGAUAACAUUGAUAAAAUCGAUCCAUAGUCGGUAUGACCAUUAAUUUGAGGAACUUUAAGCAUAAAGAAAUAAUUUGCAAUUUAUAAGAGGGAGAUCAUACCGGGCUAGCAUACUCCAAACCAGAUCGUCCUAAGCAAAACUUUAAAAACACAGCUUGAAAAAUCACGACUACAUCUAGAUAUAAGAGCAAAUUUUUAUAUGCAUUCUGUAUACUUCGUAGAAUUAAUAACGUAAUCUAAUAAAUUUGGGUUAUGUGACCUAGAAAACGAAAUAGUGAAUUUAAAAUAAUUAAUACGGGAAUAAUAAUAGACCCGUGCUGGGGCAAGUAUUUCUUUAAAGUUAUAUAAUUUAAAUUGGAAAUGUGGUACCAUAUAAGUAAUAUCGUAUCAUAUGCUGAAGGUAUAUAUAAACGUGCAAGUGAAGUCCGUCUUGACAAGAUACAUUACUGGCUAAGUAAAAGCCAUAGAUCAUCGACAAUGAUCAUCAGUGGAAUGAACACAUUUACAAUCUUACUUAUCGUCGCCUUAAUCAGAAAAGACCAUAUUCUUCACCACAAACGUUUAUCAUAUCAAAAAAGAGAUUCUAGACUGCUUCAUGGACUAUUGCAGCUUCGUUUGGCAUAGAUGGAAGAGAAAGAAAAAACAUGAUGAGGAAACAAAACAAUAUAUGUAUAUGCAGUUCAGUUGUUUGUCUGGAAGAAACGAUAAGAAGAUUUGUAAAAAUAAAUACAUAUUUUUUCAAGAG